CAAUUGGAGAGUUUGAUCCUGGCUCAGAUUGAACGCUGGCGGCACGCCUAACACAUGCAAGUCGAGCGGUAACAUGUCAUGUAGCAAUACAUGAUGAUGACGAGCGGCGGACGGGUGAGGAACACGUAGGAACUUGCCUGGAAGAGGGGGACAACUAAGGGAAACUUUAGCUAAUACCGCGUAAACUCGAGAGAGCAAAGCUGCCGCAAGGUGGCGCUUCCGGAUAGGCCUGCGUCCGAUUAGCUAGUUGGUGAGGUAAAGGCCCACCAAGGCGAUGAUCGGUAACUGGUCUGAGAGGACGACCAGUCACACUGGGACUGAGACACGGCCCAGACUCCUACGGGAGGCAGCAGUGGGGAAU
rnacentral:ncRNA from 1 species